rnacentral:lncRNA from 1 species
ACGCAUGUGCAAAUGGUAAUGCAACCAGAAGCCAAAAGACUUCUACAAGGCAAUUGAAAUGUUGGAGUCAUCUCAACAGGUGAGUGAAUAGCUACUAAUUUAUGCUGUGAAUUUGUAUAAUAAUUUUCUCUAAAAUUUAAUCACAAUCCCUAUUUUGCAGUUGUGGGAAGUUGAGACCUUGGAGCCCACCCCUCAUGAGGCUAGUUAGGAGUAUUUUGUGGACAUCGAUGUCCCGUUAUCUGAGGGCCAUCAACACGUGCCAAUAAGGCACAUAGAGGAUUGGGCAUGUCACGACCCGGUACUCCUUUCGAGCCCGUGACAACCUCCGCGAUGUCUCGAUAGACACUCAUCACUCGGAAUGCCAACCGAAAUCCUGUAAGGCUUUAAUAUCAGUUUCUCAUUCCCCCUGUGAGUAAUUGUUGCUAAAUAUCAUGUUCUAAAAGAUUUUAAGUUAUUUCCA